rnacentral:rRNA from 1 species
CCUACGGGUGACAGCAGUGGGGAAUAUUGGGCAAUGGGCGCAAGCCUGACCCAGCAACGCCGCGUGAAGGAAGAAGGCUUUCGGGUUGUAAACUUCUUUUCUCAGGGACGAAGCAAGUGACGGUACCUGAGGAAUAAGCCACGGCUAAAUACGUGCUAGCAGCCGCGGUAAAACGUAGGUGGCAAGCGUUAUCCGGAUUUACUGGGUGUAAAGGGCGUGUGGGCGGGACGGCACGUCAGAUGUGAAAACCAUGGGCUCAACCUAUGGCCUGCAUUUGCAACUGUAGUUCUUGAGUACUGGAGAGGCAGACGGCAUUCCUAGUGUAGCGGUGAAAUGCGUAGAUAUUAG